rnacentral:rRNA from 1 species
AUACAGAGGGUGCGAGCGUUAAUCGGAAUUACUGGGCGUAAAGCGCGCGUAGGCGGCUUAUUAAGUCAGAUGUGAAAUCCCCGGGCUCAACCUGGGAACUGCAUCUGAUACUGGUAAGCUAGAGUUUUGGAGAGGGAAGUAGAAUUUCAGGUGUAGCGGUGAAAUGCAUAGAGAUCUGAAGGAAUACCAGUGGCGAAGGCGACUUCCUGGCCAAAAACAGACGCUGAGGUGCGAAAGCGUGGGUAGCAAACGGGAUUAGAAACCCGAGUAGUCC